rnacentral:rRNA from 1 species
CAGGAUGAACGCUAGCUACAGGCUUAACACAUGCAAGUCGAGGGGCAUCACAGUGUAGCAAUACACGGGUGGCGACCGGCGCACGGGUGCGUAACACGUAUCCAAUCUGCCCGUUACUCGGGGAUAGCCUUCUGAAAGGAAGAUUAAUACCCGAUGGCAUGUAUUUCCGGCAUCGGAGAUACAUUAAAGAUUUAUCGGUAACGGAUGAGGAUGCGUACGAUUAGCUUGUUGGCGGGGUAACGGCCCACCAAGGCGACGAUCGUUAGGGGUUCUGAGAGGAAGGUCCCCCACACUGGAACUGAGACACGGUCCAGACUCCUACGGGAGGCAGCAGUGAGGAAUAUUGGUCAAUGGGCGCGAGCCUGAACCAGCCAAGUAGCGUGAAGGAUGACUGCCCUACGGGUUGUAAACUUCUUUUGUUUGGGAAUAAAAGACGCUACGUGUAGCGUUCUGCAUGUACCUUACGAAUAAGCAUCGGCUAAUUCCGUG